rnacentral:lncRNA from 1 species
UGCGAACCAUAAUAAAUGUAUUAAAAUAACAAGACACGGAAUUCUAUUACAAUUAAAUAACUUCACUCCUUCUUUAAAUAAAUAAAUAAAUGAAAUUUUUGAGAGUUUAAAACUGUCAAAAAUUAUAGAAAAAUAAAAAAAUAAAAACCACAAUUUGUGGCGAAACUGCCACCAAUGGUAGGAUUCUUUUUUCUUUUUUUUUUUAAAUAGAUAAAAUUACAUUUUUGAUUCCCCAGUUUAUUUUCAGUUUUAGAUUUGGUCCCUAGUAAUUUAAUUCACAAAUUUGGUCUCCUUAUUUUAUAAAAUCGUGCAAUAUUGAUCCCAAGUCACAAGUGGAUGUUGACCAUUAACGAGUACAUUCAAUUAGAACAUGACACGUUACCGUCAUCAUCCAAUAAAAACGUGACACGUGGCAGUCAACAUCACUCAUUAAUAGUCAACUUCCAAUUGUGUUAUUGGGAACCAACAUUGCACGAUUUUACAGAAUAAGAGAUCAAAUUUGUAAAUUAAAUUACUGGACGAAAUCCGAAACUGAAAAUAAACUAGGAGACCAAAUUUACAAUUUUACCUUCAAAAUACUACUUUUUCCAAAACCCAUAACAACCACCCCCUAGUGUCCUCACCCAUAACAACUACCAGCAUACCACCUCCAUCAUCAAACAACAAACACCACCAUCAAACCAAAUAGUCCUUGUAUGCCUCCAAACACCAAACACCACCAUUAAAUCCAAUGGCAUUGAGGUCGGUGGCGCAGAGGGUGGCUUGUGCGCGUUAUGAUGGUGCUUGCUGAUGUAGGUAGUGGUGGUACGUGUUGGAAGAGGUGGUGCAGGUGGCGGCACGAUGUGGAGGAGAUGGGUAUGGUGGUUGCCUGGUUGUUCGUGCGAUGGUCGGAGUUGUAGUGGUGAUGGCAUGCGUGAAUGGUGAGGUGGUGAUGUUUAGGUGCGGGUUGUUGACCUCACGGUGAUGAAGGUGGCAGCACAGGGAGUUGAGGUCGUCGCAGCGAGGAUUUGGAAGAUGGCGAUGAAGGUGGCGUAGGUGUGGUGGAAGUGGGGUUGAUGCCAUGGCGAAGGAUGAGGCGCUUAGAUAAGGAGAGGCGAAGGGAGAAGAGCGCAGUGGAGAAAUCCUCGUCGCUUGGGUGAGGAGAGAAUGUGGUGAUGUGAUUCUAGAGAGGGUCUUCAAUUUUUAAUUGACACACA